UUAAAACUGAAAACAUACGGGGACGAUAAAGUCGCCUGUAUUCCUCUCCGUGUUUAUUAAACUGAACCAUCUCCUUUAACUUCCCCAACUAGAUUAUUCUGAGAUUUAGACGCUUAACUCCAUCAAUUUCAUCACAUAAAUCCCUUCAAUUCUUCAAAACCCCCUAAUUUUUGAAGAAACUGUAAUUGAAUCCAGUUUCAAUUUCCAAAUCCACAUCAUAGAGAGAGAGCGAGUGAAGAUCUUUUUUUCUUGUUUCUUUUUUCUUUUUUCAAUAGUUAAAUCUCUCUGUACAUCUCCAUCUCCUACUACCUUGAAGAAAGAGAUACAUAGAUUCAGCUUGGCAUAGUGAAAGCGGUGGCAGAUUGAUGGCAAAAUCGAUUGUAGAGAAUCAUAAUCAAAAAGGGGGGGGGAGGAGAGCUAAAGACGCGAAAUCAAGGUUCUGAUAUUUGUACAAGAAGACGAUUGGUUUUACAAUUGUUGCAUACUAAAUGUAAAUCUGAUGCUGGAGCUGAUGAAGAGUAUGGAGAGUUUUUGUACUUACCUAAAAGAGUUAGGCCCCUUGCUGCGAGAUUACAAACUUUUGAUUUUCCGCAACCACUUAGGUAAUGGUAGAUCCGAUUUAAUGCCUAUGAAGACUGAGACUUCAUGAGGGGAGAUUUAUCAGUUUUAUCACACUAAAACUGCAUCUCAGGUGUAAAUUUAACAAAUAUUUUUAUGAGAAUAUAUAUUCUUUUUUAUGCUACUCGUGAUGCAGUUCUAUUCCUGCUUCAUUGCAGGUGAAACCAGAAAGUCCUACUCUUGUUUCCUCUUCUUUUUGUUGGAGGAGAAACUCAAAUUUCAUUCGUAACCUAGUUUGUUCACAAGUAUCAAUUAUGAAUAAUCAUAAAGAGAGAUUCGAGGAAUCCUCUGAAUCAUAAAUUCAUCUGUGCUUCUAACUUACACAUGGGGCUUAAUUUGUUAGAAUACAGAGAUUAUAGAGAAGAAAUAAAAGCUCCAUGAUUUUGAGCUACAGGAUGAAGGGCUUAUGGAAGCUCAACAAGGUAUAGAAGAAAUAACGGGAGAAUUGGGUAUCUCAUUCAUAAGACUUACUGACGGUGCUAAGAUGGUUUUUGUAAGGAUCAAGGUAAUAUCAGUUGUUGAUAUCCUACUAGUACUGGGAUAUAGGCACACAACCUAGGCGUAUUUGGUAUCUGCAAUUUGGAUAUUGAAAUUGCACAGUUACAAGCCAAAGUGCCAUGAACAUUUUAUCCGUGUAGGACGACCCCACCAAUCUCGCUAUUCCCAGAAGUGCAAUAUUCAAAGUCUAUUUACAAGCCUGUUACUAUGUUCUUGCUUGGUGAUAGGAUAUCAUGUUCAAGGGAUAUAGGAGUGCUGAACAUCAAACAUAAGUCUACGAAGCACAAUCCACUUUAUCAUAUUUAUAUAUUUUAUGAAUCCAUGUAUGCUAAUCUAUGCAGUGGCUUACAACAACCGAUCUUGUCUUUUCGGAAGGACGAUAUCUUUUACCGGAAGAUGUAGAUGUUACGAUCAAUCCUUCAAAAGGUUUAUAUCUUACUGAAAGUAUAUCGUCUGAUGAACAAAAGGAGCUCCGGCACCUGGCAGUUAAUUAUGUUUUGAUUUUUUUUUCUUCUUUGUUGUUUUGAACCAGAAGUAGCUUCUGUUGUUGAAUUUGAGAUGUUUGGUUUCUCAAAGUUGUAAUUUUUCUUUUGAAGCAUCGAUUGUUACUGAAUUCAAGUUAACUUAAAUAAAAUGGUUUGAAUUUGUUUAUAAAA